rnacentral:lncRNA from 1 species
AGGGCUAUUGGUAUCUUCCAUGCUAGGAGUGUUAUCCUCGACAUGUGUUUAUUAACAGUCAUUCACGAGAAAGGGCCCGGUAUUUGGAGUGCCCAAUUCCACGCUUAAAUCGAAAACAUAACUAUAAAACAAGACUCCCCAGUAUGGACGGUACCCGAGGAUUCGUCUAGCCGUGGAGUGUGAUUGAUUGGUGGUGGGGGAGUUAAAACUUUACUUUUCUGUUUGGGAACCGCCUAUAGC